CUUGGGAUUUCGGGGUGUUGCUUGGGGCAUCGGUGGUGGCUGGGUUCGGGCGUCCGGCGGCGGGUGAGCGCGCGGAGCGCGCGGAGCGCCGGAGAGCGUAGGGCGGGAGGCGCCGAGGCGGAGGAGCGGGCGGCGUGCGGCCGCCAGCCGGCCCUGCGGAGCAGGCUGCAGGCGAGGAGGUCGUCGGGGCAGGGUGGCGCCGGCAUCGGGCGUCCCUCGGCGGCUCGGUCAGGCGGGUCCGGGGAGGCGGGGACGGGAGACCGCGACCUGGGCGGGGACUUGUCGUACUUCGACGGGGGGAAUGCCUACGACACGAACCCAUUCGACCUGCGACGUAACCGUGGCGGUGUCAUCCAGAUGGGUCUCGCCGAGAACAGCUUUCUCUGGACCUGAUUGAGGAAUGGAGCAAGAACCACCCCGAGGCAUCCAUUUGCACACCGGCAGGCAGGUUUGAUAAUUGAGAACAAUAGAAGAUGAAUAAGAAAGGCUAGGGAAAGGCGACAUAACAAAGUGGUAAAAAUUAAAAUGGUAAAUUUUUGAUUAUUCAUGUACAUUUCCAUUUUAAUGGGGGCGAGCCACGCCCCCAUUUUUGCUGUCGCUGGUUCCUCGCCUCUCCGUCCGCCUCCAUUCCUGUCCUUGCCCCUGCGGAGUCCGCCUCCAUUCCUUUCCUUGCCCCUGCGGCGGCGGGACUCCAGGCUGCUACCUCCAUGGGCCAUGGAGCAAUGGGCCCAGCAGCGGAGGCAGCACUCGCCCGCCGUGCCGCUGACCCGCUUCCCAUGCUCCGCCGCUGCCGUGACGCGCUCCUACCGCGCCUCUUCGCAGCUCCACGCGCUCCUCCUCACCACCGGGCUUGCAUGCCACUCCCCAAACAUGUCCCUCCUCCUCCGCCUCGCCUCCCCUGCCCUCCCCAUCUCCCACCGUCUCCUCUGCUCCUCGCUCCCGCCCACCACCUUCCUCGCCAACUCCCUCCUCUUCGCCGCUUCCUCCCCACGUUGCCUCCCCUCCGCGCUCUCCCUCUACUCUCUCCUCUCCCUCUCCUCUCCCAUGUCGUCGCCACCGCUCCUCCGGCCGAACGCCUUCACCUACCCGCUGCUCUUCCGCGCCGCGCCCCCGACCGUCGCCCUCGCGCUCGCCACCCAUUCAGUCAAAUUCCUCGGUGCUCAUGCCGCCUCCUGCGAUCGUGUCCUCGGGCCGUGCUGCUUGACGUCUUCACUCGCUGCGGUAGGAUCGCCUCGUGCCGCCGGGUGUUCGAUCGGAUCGCUUGCCCCGACCUGCCGGCCUGGAACGCGCUACUCUCCGCCUACAUGCGUUGUGCCUCGUCUGCUGCGGAUGCUAUCCUUGAGCUCUUUUCACGGAUGAUUUCCCUAGGAACCGUUAGGCCCAACGAGAUCACUCUCGUCGCCGUCAUUGGCGCGUGUGGUGAGCUUGGCGCUCUAGGCCACGGUGUAUGGGCGCACACCUAUCUCGUGAAGCGCCAGCUUGCUAUCAACCGCAUCGUGACCACCGCGCUUGUUGAGAUGUACGCCGGGUGCGGGAGGCUGGACCUAGCCGAGCAUGUCUUUGCCACUGCUUCGGACAGAGACACGCGUUGUUACAAUGCGAUGCUCCAAGGCUUGGCCGCCCACGGUCAUGGUCGUGCUGCCCUUGACCUGUUUGAUAGAAUGCGUGGCUCGGGUGUGCCCGUGGAUGGCGUCACUAUUUUGUCCGUGUUGUGUUCUUGUGCCCAUGCUGAAUUGGUGGAUGAAGGGCUGGAGUACUUUGACAAAAUGGAGAUCGAAUUCGGGAUUGAGCCAAGGAUUGAGCACUACGGAUGCGUGGUUGACAUGCUGAGCCGGGCAGGUCGACUCGAUGAUGCCGAGAAGCUAAUCCAUGAAAUGCCCAUUGUGCCAAAUGCUGCGAUAUACAGAUCUUUGAUCCGGGCAUGCGACAUUCAUGGCAAUCUGGAGCUCGGCGAGAGGAUGAUCACUGAAUUGAGGCAACAUGACCCGGAUGACAGUGGAAACCAUGUCCUGAUUGCCAACUUGUAUGCUAGAAUGAACCGAUGGGAGGAAGCCAAGAAGACGAGGAAGGAGAUGAAGUCCAUGGGCAUUGACAAGAGCCCUGGAUCAAGCCUCCUAGACAUGAAUGGAGUUCUCCAUGAGUUCUUGGUGGGUGACAAGACGCAUCCUGCCUCAAAGGAGAUAUAUACCAUGGUUGAAGAGAUCGAGGCUAGAUUAAGUGAACAUGGGCACCGGUCAAGCACCACAUCUGUGUUGUUUGAUGUCGAAGAGGAGGACAAGGCGGAUACACUGACCUACCACAGCGAGAGGCUCGCCAUUCCCUUUGCUCUCAUCGCUUCGGAUCCAGGAACUCCCAUCAGGAUCAUCAAGAACCUCCGGGUGUGUGCCGACUGCCAUGAGAGCGCAAAGCUCGUCUCUCGGGUGUAUGGUAGAGAGAUUGUCAUGAGGGACCGCACCCGGUUCCAUCACUUCAGAGAAGGGGAAUGUUCUUGUGGAGAUUUCUGGUAAUUACGUCAAGUUUUAUAAUGCUAUAAGGGAGGCCUGUCCGGACAUCCAAAUGAUUUCAAGUUGUGAUUAUUCAUCAAGACCACUUGACCAUCCUGCUGAUUUAUAUGAUUUCCAUGUGUAUACUGAUUCUAGGACUUUGUUUUCGAUGAAGAAUACAUUUGACAGAUCAUCUCGUAAUGGGCCCAAGGCUUUUGUUAGUGAAUAUGCCGUAUGGAGAAGUGAUGCGGGUAAAGGAAGUCUUUUUGCAUCUUUGGCAGAGGCUGCUUACCUUACUGGACUGGAGAAGAAUAGGUGAUCUUUCCUUGAAACAAUGUGAUAUUGCUCAGAUGGCAAGUCAUACGAGUAAUACAUAAGAUGUGAUAUGCGAAUACGAGCCAGCUGUAUAUAUAUGCUUGUAUCUUGAAGCACUACUGCAUAAUGUAACUCAUAGGAAAUGAUGAAUAAAAUUCACAUCAGGCUUAUUUGCUUCUCUCUUUUUUCGCUCUCUAUAUUUGUAUUGGAUGAAACUAGAUGGCAGUAUGGCACAUGCCAUUGCUUUGUUUGACCUAAGAGAAAAGGAAGCGGGAAGAAGAAAAUAUGGACUCUUUGCCCUGAUAAGGAGAGUAAUUUGUCCAACGAUAACAUAUUUGUAUAGAAAUUAAGGCUCAGAUUAAGGACCAAAAAUCUGAGUUUAGCAUUGAGCAGAUCUAAAUGGACCCCAAUCCCUCCUAGGAUGCUUGUUGAUUCUUUUGUGGAUACUGUAAAUCUGGCAUGUUUCCCAUUAGGUAUAUUGGCAAUUUGGCGUUUACAUUUUGAGAAGCCUACAAGAGAAGAAACUCAGCAGCUGGUUGAUAAAAUCACAGGAGAAUAAAAUGUUGGAGAAAGAAGCUUCUGCCUUAUCCACACAGAGUUAUCCUUAUCAAGAGUAGUUUAUCCAUUACUCCUAAACAUCUCUGAUCAUUGUUGGUUGAGGUUUAAACAUGAUUAGCUCCUCUCAUGUAGUUAACUGUCUCUGGACAUGAAAUAAAGUACGAUGAGCUACAUUUAGCU